GUUUGUUACAUUAAUAUGGUUACAGAUCUGUUUUAGCGGUCUUGCAGAACUACUUGUUCUUUCUCUUGUAACUGUCCCUGUUCUGCUUCAAAAUGUUCUCACAUCCCUUCCAGCUCUUUUUUCCCCUCUUAGGGUAGAAUCUUGUUAGAAGAUGAAGGGGGGUAUUUUAAGGCUUAAGGAGCCAAAAGAUGAUGUUCAAAAUAAAUUAGGCACUUCUGAGAAUUACUUGUGCAUGAAAUGGGCUUCAUUAUUUCUGAGAUGGGUCAUUUGAAAAUUAAAAUGAGUACAAGUAUUACCCACAGCUGGUUGGUAAGGUCAACAUUAAGAAAUGUGCACAAUGUCACAGGACUUUAACUCUAGACUUCAUGAAUUAAGCUUCAGUUUCUAUACAGCUCUUCUUAAUUCAUUUAUUUGAUCAUGUAACCUUUGAACUGUGUGCUCAAAAAUUAACAUGGACACUUGAACAUGUUAACAUACAAAAUCGUUGAGAUGUGGCAUACUGGAAACGACAGUUUUCACACUGACCAAAGAUAAUUGGCCAUUCUUGAUAGAAGUGGUAUUUUGGUUGAAAAAUGUUCUGUACAAAAAAAGGACAUCUUGAAAAAAAAACAGGAAGAUGAUAGGAUAGUCUUCUUUACAUGUGAUUAUUUCAGUUAAAACAAGUUGGGGAAAGAUUCUAUGUAGAGUUGAGAGACAUUAGCAUUUGUUCACUGCAUCUGGUGUAACAGGAGAAAAUCCCCUGGGCCUUGAGUGAAAAAUAGGAUUUGUAAAGCAAUCCAUGCUGACAUAAAUCUUGUACACUAAAUAUGUAACUAAUUUUCUGAGAAAUACUCUAUAAUGUGCAUCUAUUUUCUAGUGGGUGUUCACAAGAUGAUAAAACUGCAUCAUACUGCACCAUGAGGUAGUUAAGCUUUAACUUAGGAAGGUUACAUUUUUGAGAUGUUUUAAUUUUUUUACUUCUUUGGAGUUUGUAUUGGUCAAGGUGUCACUUCCAUGUAAGCUACCUGGUCAAAUAUCCCUUGUACUUCUAAGGAAUAAUACAUACUUUCUAGUUCCUCGUACACUGGGUGCCAUUCUAGGAUGUCUGAUUGUAUGUUUUUGUAUUUCUACUUCAGAGAUUUCUGAGAAAAAUUGCACUAAGUCCUUGGAAAUAGUCAGGAGAGGACUGAACAACAUGUGGGGCAAAUGAGCAAUGGCUCUGGGAUGGCAUGCAGACAGCAGGAGGAGUUGGGCAUGUUUCAGCCUGACAUGCAACCACUUGAGCUCUCAGCUGUAGUUAUAUUUUCAGAUGCUGUAGCUCCAACAGAAAAAACACUGGUUCACCAACAAUAUGCACUUCUGCUGGUAAUUUCAAAGAUGUCCAUCUUGAUUUGCCUUUUAAGAUGGGUAAUAGUUAAUUGCACUUGUGAUCAACCUAGAGUUGCCAGCAAAUAUUUCUAGAAAGAAGACUAGACACAGCUGGAGGUGGUGAUGGUUCAGCCCCUCCUUGCAAGUGCACUACUGUUCAUGGGGUCCUUCUAGGGAUGGCAGAAGUAAAUCUUGAACACCUGGAUAAGAGCCAGUCUUCACUAAUGUCACAGAAUAAGAAUUGACUUUAUGCCUCUGUCUUGGGACAUGCUGCAGUGCAUUGCAUUUGAGACUAAAACAGGCUGUUCAGGGCUAUUUGUUCUGGUGUAACCUGUCAGAAAGCUAAGUACUAUGUAUCUGUCCCCCUUGCUGAGGGUUAUUGGACUUACAGCAAUCCAACAGCAAAAGGGUCCUCCAAAAGGAAGGACAGCUACUUGAUUUGCUGUGUAUCCAAGACAGUUAUGCCAAUAGCCCACUGGUAACUUUUGGAUUAUUGAAGUACCCUCUCCUGUGAUAGUCUAUGUCAAGCAUGCCUGGAGCCUUGGGGCCAGUCACAGUGGGGUGCGUUUGCCACUCCUUCCCAGUUACCCUCUCUUCAAGUUCAAGUGCAGUUACCUGUUGGGAUCUCCCUGUCACUCCAGAAACACAGAUGGGGUCUGCUGCUUUCUAGCUUGCUGGCAUUAGGGUACACUGUACACUGGUGCCCACUAGAGUCUUAAACCCCUGUGGGGCUGAUGUUCCAGGCCAUUGAGUCCACACAGUCAGAUAAAUCUGGUUGUCCUUUUCUCCACUUGGCUGGAGGCAUAGCUCAUCUAGUCCUGGUCAUAGUAUUCAUUACUGUGUCUGGAUGACUGUCUGCUGGAAGUUGGAGCAGCAGUUUUCUCAGAAGACACUGCUUUUCCAGUUGUUCUCCUUGCAAUUCAUGUACCUCUAGGGUCAAGGUAGAUUUUUCCAUCCCAUUUUCUCAUGUCCUCUCCAUGAUCACACAGGUAAAACCGCAGGGUGGUGUGUGGUGUGUACCUACUAUAUCCUCUUGAGCAGAGAGCAGUGCUUGCUCCUAGUAGCUGAGAUACUGGUUUGUACAGGUAGGGAGUAGGAUGUAACCUUGUUGAACUGCUGGAACUUCCAGGACAGUUUCUCCACAGCAUUUUUGAUUGGUGGGCCUUUGGGGAAAGCUUCUCGACAGCUGAGAUGUGAGCCUAUGGGGAAGGAGCGAGGCUUUUUUUGCAUUGCUGAAGUUGGCCAGCCAAUUAGUCUGGCAUAUGUUCCUCUUCUUUCCAGCUCAUUACUGUCAAUGAGUUGGCAUAGAACAAUGGUGCACUCCAUGCACACCUGUGCUACAGUGGUUGUAUGCACUUGACUUAAUCUGGAUCUUUAGAGAAUUGGUCAUCGUACUGCAAGUCACCAUAAACUCUCUCCAGCAUGGCUAACUUCCUUCAGUACUGGAUACCCAUCUCCAUGGAGGUCUACUUGCUUGGGUGACAUCUUCCCUGAAGGGAUACUUCUCUUCCACACCUAACAGGACUUGCCUCUGGAUGCUGAUGACUUGUGAUCGUUAUCCCAUUGCUCUGUCAACAUCACCUUCCCUCAGAGGGAUCCAGCUGCUUGGCUUCCCUGCGCUUAAUUCCAGGCUACUGGCCUUCUUAUUCCUGCACUGGAGCAACCAGGUGAUGGGGUGCUCACCUGGGUGAUGGCACAAAUCUUCUUGUGUAUCUCCCAGCUCAUACCCAUAGCCCAGUUGCUGGGAUCAGACCCUUUUCUGCUGGGCAACUUUCCAGCCCCUCAUCCCUAAGCCCACACCACUGCUCUGGGGUUCUGAUGCAAAUGCAGCACCCAGCAUUUACAUUUGCUGGCUGUCACUUAGUCAGACUUGGCCUGUUGACCUAGCCUAUGCAAAUUGUCAGGGAGCUGGUCUGCUUCAGGAUAGGAUGGCUUUGGAGACCCUAAUUUGGUUUUGUCUGCAAGCUUACUGCGGGUGGUCUUGAACCCCUUUUCCAGAUCACUGAUGAGAAUACUAAACAACCCUGGUCUCUGUAUGGAGCACUGGGGAACCUCUCUGGUGACCAGCCACCAACUGGAUUGAACUGUGUGCUGAGUCUCUGAGACCAGCCAUCCAGCCAGUUCUUCAGCCAGCAAACCUCUUCAAGCCCUGAUCAGCCAGCCUCUGCAGGAGAAUACCAUGGGAAACUCUCAAAAGCUUUACUAAGAUUCUAGUAGAUUAUGUCCACAAAUGAGCUGGGCAGGACCUGCCUUUCAUAAACUUGUUCUACACACAGCUGAUCACUUGAUUGUCUGAUAAAUUCUGUACAGGACAGAAAGAGUACAGCAAAAAGGCAUUCAGUGCCUCAGCCUUAUCUGCACCUUGUGUCCUCCGUGUUACCCCCUUGCAUCU